rnacentral:rRNA from 1 species
GACGAACGCUGGCGGCGUGCUUAACACAUGCAAGUCGAACGGAAAGGCCCUGCUUUUGUGGGGUGCUCGAGUGGCGAACGGGUGAGUAACACGUGAGUAACCUGCCCUUGACUUUGGGAUAACUUCAGGAAACUGGGGCUCAUACCGGAUAGGAGCUCCUGCUGCAUGGUGGGGGUUGGAAAGUUUCGGCGGUUGGGGAUGGACUCGCGGCUUAUCAGCUUGUUGGUGGGGUAGUGGCUUACCAAGGCUUUGACGGGUAGCCGGCCUGAGAGGGUGACCAGCCACAUUGGGACUGAGAUACGGCCCAGACUCGUACGGGAGGCAGCAGUGGGGAAUAUUGCACAAUGGGCGGAAGCCUGAUGCAGCAACGCCGCGUGCGGGAUGACGGCCUUCGGGUUGUAAACCGCUUUCGCCUGUGACGAAGCGUGAGUGACGGUAAUGGGUAAAGAAGCACCGGCUAACUACGUG